rnacentral:rRNA from 1 species
CCUACGGGUGGCAGCAGUGGGGAAUUUUGGACAAUGGGCGCAAGCCUGAUCCAGCUAUUCCGCGUGUGGGAUGAAGGCCCUCGGGUUGUAAACCACUUUUGUAGAGAACGAAAAGGCACCUUCGAAUAAAGGGUGUUGCUGACGGUACUCUCAGAAUAAGCACCGGCUAACUACGUGCCAGCAGCCGCGGUAAUACGGAGGAUGCGAGCGUUAUCCGGAUUUAUUGGGUUGAAAGGUUGCGCAGGCGGAAGAUCAAGUCAGCGGUAAAAUUGAGAGGCUCAACCUCUUCGAGCCGUUGAAACUGGUUUUCUUGAGUGAGCGAGAAGUAUGCGGAAUGCGUGGUGUAGCGGUGAAAUGCAUAGAUAUCACGCAGAACUCCGAUUGCGAAGGCAGCAUACCGGCGCUCAACUGACGCUCAUGCACGAAAGUGUGGGUAUCGAACAGGAUUAGAUACCCUAGUAGUC